GACGAACGCUGGCGGCGUGCUUAACACAUGCAAGUCGAACGGGGUCAUUGGAGAGCUUGCUCAAAGAUGACCGAGUGGCGGACGGGUGAGUAACGCGUGAGGAACCUGUCUCAUACAGGGGGAUAACGCACCGAAAGGUGUGCUAAUACCGCAUGAGACCACGAGAUCGCAUGGUCUUGAGGUCAAAGGAGCAAUCCGGUAUGAGGUGGCCUCGCGUCUGAUUAGGUAGUUGGUGAGGUAACGGCCCACCAAGCCGACGAUCAGUAGCCGACCUGAGAGGGUGAUCGGCCACAUUGGAACUGAGACACGGUCCAA
rnacentral:rRNA from 1 species